CAGCAGCCGCGGGAAUACGUAGGGUGCGAGCGUUAAUCGGAAUUACUGGGCGUAAAGCGUGCGCAGGCGGUGCUGCAAGACCGAUGUGAAAGCCCCGGGCUUAACCUGGGAACUGCAUUGGUGACUGCAGCGCUGGAGUAUGGCAGAGGGGGGUGGAAUUCCACGUGUAGCAGUGAAAUGCGUAGAGAUGUGGAGGAACACCGAUGGCGAAGGCAGCCCCCUGGGCCUGUACUGACGCUCAUGCACGAAAGCGUGGGGAGCAAACAGGAUUAGAUACCCCAGUAGUCCCUGUCUCUUAUAC
rnacentral:rRNA from 1 species